CUAAUACCUUGAAAAGCAAUCUGAUGGGCUUGAAACCUUUUAGUUCAGGUAAUUAAAAUGAAAUUCCGUUAUGGCCUUCAAAAAGUAAAGGAACGGAGUGUAUAUUGUAAAAUACUAAUCUAAAAGGGAACGAAAGUCGGGAGCUUCUAUUGUUUUAAUUUUCUCUGGAAUAAACUGUCAAAUGAAAUAAGCGCGGCCUUACAUUUAAGGAAGCAGAAAGCUCUGGAAUUCAGUUAAUUAAGGACUAGUUUUUAAGUAGAAGGGGGGGGGGAAUGUUCAAUUUGUAUAAAUUAAUUGUAAGGAUUUGCUCACCCAGCAAGAUCUUUGGGGAAGGAAAGAAAGUGAGUUAAUUGCAAGGGUCCCUAAAUUUCAUUUUUAUUGUUUCUACAUACACGCACAUAUGCACACACAACAUUUUAUUUGUUGGGCAGAAUAAAUUGGGAAAUUCUGUGCAACCACCACUGAACAGCGCCCAUUCAAUUUGAUGGUGCUUGCAUAGCAAAACUUGCAGGUGAAUUAUGCCCAUUAGUUGCAACAUUUAGUUUUGGCAUAAUAUAAAAUAAAACAAAGGAAAAUACAAAUAACUUUCUCCUCCAUCAACAACAAAGAGUUAUGUAGCACCUUAAAGAAUUAUCAAAUUUAUUGUGGCAUAAGCUUUCAUGGACUAGAAUUCAAUUCAUCGGAAGCCUGGGUUGAUAGGGAGAAAUAACUAGGCAACUAGUUCUGCUCACUUGUGUGUUGAAUUUUUCAACUUUCAAACUCCAAAAAUGAGGAGUGCUAAGAAGUUGUAACAUGACUGGCGAAUUCAAAAUAUAGUUUGGUUAAGUUGACAGAAUAUGCACGACUUGCAGACUUAACAUAUAAGAAUAAGAGAACAAGAAGAACAUAUGUUUAAAAAAGAUUGGAAAACGUUUAUCGAAUAUAUGGAAAAUAAUUGUGUACAGUUGAAAACACUGGCAGCAUUAAAAUGAAUUCAACAGUGUACAGCUGAAAACACUGGCAGCAUUAAAAUGAAUUCAGCAUUAAAGUUUUGAUGAUUGCAAUAAUGGAAAACCGAUUGGUAUAGUUUUUGUAAAGUAUAAACCAAUUUGUAUAGUUUUUGUAAAGUAUGCAGGGAUUUAAGAUAUGUAAAAAUGAACCAUGGAAAGAGAAGAAAGGAAGUCAUUGAUAUCUUAAAGAUGUAAAAUGUUUAUUUGAAAUUGUAAAACAGAAAAUUUAAUUAAAAAAUAUUAAAAAACAAAACAAAAUAUAGUUUGGUUAAAUUAAUAUAAUUUACUUUUGCUUGGUAAGUAAAAGCUACAUACAAAAUUGCAUAGAAAUCAUUAAAAAUGAUUGCCAAGUACUUGCAGUUAAUAUUAGAUAUUAAUAUCAUUUGUUAUUUUUAUUAUUUAGCAUUACCCGACAUUUUCAGAAGGUAAGACAGAAAUUAUUUGGUUUUCUGAAAGCAGCUUAUGUGCUUCUUCAUCAAAUGUAGACUUCCCAAGCUAACUAAAUGUUGUUGAACCACAGCAAUCGCUGCAGAUUUGGAUUCCUCACACCCCAAAAUGUAAUUUUAAGACCCCUUCACUGAAGAAAUUUGCAAAAAUUAAGUUUUGCCCCCCUAAAAUGGCAUGCCCUAAUACCCCAUUGACUUUUUUGUGUGAAGGCCACUUUUGAAAUUAAGGGAUGUUGCAAAAGCAGUUUGUAAUUUACCUUUCAAAAAAACAAACAAGCGGGGCGGGAGGGGAGAGCCACAAAUCUUGCUGAGUGUGCCUGAGACAUUGGACAUGCUGCUGCUUUUUGGCUCUCUGUCUUAAUUUUGGAAAGUUAACUUGUCCCAAGUAGUCCAUUCCCUGGUUUAUGGUCCUUCCGUCUUAUAGAUAAAUUAGAUGAAAUUCUGAAAUUAAUUAAAAUCCUAUGUAACACAACCUAUUUUGUUCGCUUAAUAAUGAGAUAACGCUUCCUUUGCUCCUUCGUGAUAAGUUUUGCUACACAUUUUAUUCCGCUGCUUCUUCUCUCUUUUUUUGGACGAAGUAAUUUCCAGUCUUGAAUCUCACUUGGGGUGGGGGGUUGUUGCUGGAUGCCCUGAGGCAGCUAUGGAGGGAAUUGCUGGAGAGUCAACACCACCAAAUAAAAUGCAUGCAUACUUUUUUCCACAUUAAAAUGUACAUUUUAUCAUAAUAACUAAUUAUUCUUAUUGCUUUACUGCAUAUUAUUACUUGCACUGGACCAUAAAACCUAGACUAAUAACACUAAUUUGUCUUACAUUAUAGAUUGCUCUAUUAACUUUAACAAAUCGGUUCACCACAGGCACUGAUUGAUAGGUACAUUGUUCCCAGACUCAUUUCCUUCCUUAUAAACAAUUAUCCACACCGAAUAUUCUCUCUCUCUCUCUCUUUGCAUUUUACAUUGGCGAAGCAGGGCUCUGCACCUAAUUCCUAAAAAUUUACACUGACAUACAUGCUUGCACUGCCUAUGGAACAUCAUGUUGUGUGGCUAUGUGCUGGUGUCGCUGUAAGAAUGCCCCUAAGCACCCAUUUGCUGUGACAGAACAGCUUGGGGUGAAGCUAUUUGUCUCGGUCUAGAGCAUGGGUAGGCAAACUAAAGCCCGGGUGCCAGAUCCGGCCCAAUCGCCUUCUCAAUCUGGUCCACGGACAGUCCAGGAAUCAGUGUGUUUUUACAUGAGAAGAAUGUGUCCUUUUAUUUAAAAUGCAUCUCUGGGUUAUUUGUGGGGCCUGCCUGGCGUUUUUACAUGAGUAGAAUGUGUGCUUUUAUUUAAAAUGCAUCUCUGGGUUAUUUGGGGGACAUAGGAAUUCGUUCUCCCCCCCCCCUCAAAAUAUAGUCCAGCCCCCCACAAGGUCUGAGGGCCAGCGGACCGGCCCCCUGCUGAAAAAGUUUGCUGACCCCUGGUCUAGAGCUUGUUUCUACAAUCACCAGAACCAUAUACAGUGGUACCUCGGGUUACAUACGCUUCAGGUUACAUACGCUUCAGGUUACAGACCCCGCUAACCUAGAAAUAGUGCUUCAGGUUAAGAACUUUGCUUCAGGAUAAGAACAGAAAUCAUGCUCCAGGAGCACAGCAGCAGCAGGAGGCCCCAUUAGCUAAAGUGGUGCUUCAGGCUAAGAACAGUUUCAGGUUAAGAAUGGACCUCCGGAACAAAUUAAGUACUCAACCCGAGGUACCACUGUAGUCAAGCUUUUCCAGGCAGGACUGUACCAGUUCAGACAGCACUUCAGACCACAGGUAUGUAUGGGGUGGUUGUGUGUUCGGAUGAUUUACUAAGGAAAAACCCCAACUUUCCUAUGUGCAAAAAACUAACAUGACAGGAAGAGGGAUUCAGCCAAAUCUUUUCCUAACAGGCUAUUUUUCUAUGCAGAGGGGUUUCAUUCAAAUUCAGCCUCCACCCUUUAGCCUCUGUGAAAAUGGUACAGUCCAUUGUGGGAUGGGGAAUGAACACUUGAUUCUGUUGAUAGUAUAAACUGCCCCCAAAGCAUUAUUUUAUUACCCCCCCAAACCCCAGAAGGGCCUUAAUGCCCUUUUCUGGUCUCCCAUGCAAUUCCAUGAAAGACAGUGGUACCUCGGGUUAAGUACUUAAUUCGUUCCAGAGGUCCGUUCUUAACCUGAAACUGUUCUUAACCCACUUUAGCUAAUGGGGCCUCCUGCUGCCGCUGCGCCGCCGGAGCACAAUUUCUGUUCUCAUCCUGAAGCAAAGUUCUUAACCUGAGGUACUAUUUCUGGGUUAGCGGAGUCUGUAACCUGAAGCGCAUGCAACCAGAGGUACCACUGUACAGUUGCUUAGCAGUGCAGUCCCAUAUAUGUUUACUCAGAAGUCAGCCAAUCAAGUUCAAACUCCUUCAAACAGAGGACUGUCCUCUGUAGAAGUAGGAACCUCUUUGCCCCCCUAACAGAAUCAAUGAUCCCGGCGGUCAGCUGGUCCACUUCUCUUGCUCCAUUUGUGGGUUUCGUCUUCACUUACGGACGUUGUCCCUCAGUAGUUUGUAUUUCCAGAAUGUGCUAUUUGGUGAGGAGUUUGGGGGAGGCAGCGAGAGGCUUCAUUGCACGGUGCGGUCAUGUAGCAUCCAUCUCCAUCUCUGCAAUGCACAGUUGUGUCUUCUUGAAUUCCGAUGCAGAGUUGCUGUGAAAAGUUCCCUCUCUCUUAUGGGUAGUAAGUAAGUACCAGUGUAAGGAGACCUUCUGCUGGGAACCUCCCUGUUGUCUCUGGUACUUGAUGAAGCACCUAUUUGGGUAGCGGGUGGCUGGGAACUACCCAGGUUUGUCAUGCUCACUGAACAUGCCUCAUGUGCAUACCAGUGUGGCUGAUAAGCAUAAUGUGCUAAUUACUGUAUUUUUUGCUCUAUAAGACUCACUUUUUCCCUCCUAAAAAGUAAGGGGAAGUGUGUGUGCAUCUUAUGGAGCGAAUGCAGGCUGCGCACCCAUCACAGAAGCCAGAACAGCAAAAGGGAUUGCUGCUUUAACUGCGCAGCGAUCCCUCUUGCUGUUCUGGCUUCUGAGAUUUAGAAUAUUUUUUUUCUUGUUUUCGUCCUCCAAAAACUAGGUGCGUCUUGUGGUCUGGUGCGUCUUAUAGAGCGAAAAAUAUGGUAUAUUAGUCAGGUCUCACGAGGUGGAGAGGAGUAUUGUGGCUUCACAAAUGACCAGUCCCCUUUCCCCUUAGUUAUUAUUAUUUUUUGCUGCAAACUGCACAGUAUUUUGUUAAGCCAGCAUGGGGAGCCCUCUAGUCUAGGCCUUAUCUGGGGCAUGGGAAACAGAUGCCACGAAGGACUGGACAUGCAAACGUAAUGUCCGUUUCAGCAUCUCCCAUUCUAGUGCCUUGCAGAGAUGCCUUGGGCUACAACUCUCAUCAUCAGCCUCACCUAGCCCCCGUCAGGGACGAUGGGAGUUGUAGUCCAAAACAUAUGGAGGGCAGUAAGUUGGGGAAGUCUUCAGGGCAGAUAUGUAUCUUCUCCUAGAUGUCUUAGGCUUGAAUUCAUUCUGUGAAUUGGGACAUCCACAUUUCACUGCCCCAAAGCCUAAUCAGCAGCUGCCAUGAAUGUAAAAGCAAGGGUGUUGGAACCUGUGACCUUCCAGAUGUGAUUUAACUACAUUUCCCAUCAUCCUUGACCCCUGGCAACACUGGCUGGGGUUGAUGGGAGUUGGAAUCCAACACCAUCUGGCAAGCCUCAAGUUCCCCAUCCCUGAUGUAAGAUGGUGGAGAAACUGUUUGUAUGAUGGCUCUAUGAUGUCAAGGAUGGGGAAAUUGUAGCCGUCCAGAUGUUAUGGGCUCCAGCUCCUACCAGCACCAGCCAGCAUGGCAAAAUGGCCAGGAAAGAUGGAAGUUGUAAUCAAGCAACAGCUGGAAAGUCACGGUUUCUCCAUCCCUGCUGUGUAGGUAGGGAGAGAUGGUAAACUCAGCGCCAGAUGCAAAAUCCCAAAGGGAAAACAGUUUUCUGUAAACCAGGUCUCAUUUUUGGACCGUGGAGAAGGAUCGGAAAGACCAGGAUGAUAAAAGAUGCAUGAGAACUCAUGUAGCUACACACAUUUAGACUUAAUUUCAGUUUGUGAUUAGCUUUAAGUAGGUUUCGAGGACUGAUUUGCAGGAAGAAAUGGAAAUGCUCAAUUUACGUGGGCUGGGAAGGAGCCUCACCCCAGGGGGAAUCAAGCGGAGGAGGGGGGAUGCAAUUUAAGUGGUUAGGUAAUCUUAAUCUGAAAUGCACCCAUUUUCUUCUGUUAGACCUCGAGAUAAAGCUGAUGCAUAAAACUGAUCUAUGGAAAGGAAAGGUUAGACUAUUUCUAUGUUUUAAAGGGGCCCAUCACCAUUGUGGAGAAAACAUUUUUAUUUUUUUUUUGGUGUUCAUUUUCUGUGUUCAGGACUGAGCUGUCAAAUUACUCAUUUAAAUGCCAAAACCAGAGAUUGCUGAGUUUUCUGCAUGCAAUUUGUGAUUCUGAGCGGAAGCCUCCUUGAACCAGAGUCUCUCACAUCUAUAAUUAAAAGGGAAGCGGGUUUGUUGAAAAGACCCAUUUUCCGAAGAUAUAAACAUCUUACAUUAUUUUUCUGGACACACGCAUUCUUUCUGUUAGAAAAACUAUGGGGCUUAUGAAGUUGUUGUUUUUUUGCUGUGAUUUUAUACACAAUGGAAGGGUGAGGAAAAGGUCAGUAAUAACUCUGCGGUUGCAUUUUCGCUGGGAAGAAAAAACCCGGCGUCCUAUUGAUCAAUAAUAAAAUGGAAAAAGCACAACUAUUAGCUUUUAACUUGAUCUUCUCUGACCUUUCCCCUGCCAUGUUGGCUUUGUUCUUAAAUGUUAUGCCUGCUGUUUCAAAGGUUUGUCCCGUUUAGUCUUUUAUUUAAUUAACACAUGAUCUUCUUUACCAGCUCUAAUGUUGAAACAAGAAAUUCACUUCCAUCCCCUUGUUGAACCAUUGUCUGGUUCACACCCUACACUUGAUAACAACUGUUACAAAUUGUAAGUGUUGUGAAUGAAUAGCUGUGCUUAAAAUGGCAGUGGCGGGUGGGUCGUUGCAGGCCAUUUACGGGAAACAGGACGUGGACGGGAAGCCCAAACAAACCCUUUGUGUUUCGGGACCACUUGUGGUCGGACCUCAAUAUAAAGCUGGUUAUUAGGAGGCACACAAAGUUAUCACAAUAAAUACUUUUGAUGGAUCCUUUAUUCCAGUGGUGUCUGGUGCUCAUUGAGCAGAGGGCAGGGAGGCCAACAGUAGGUGGCGCCACAACCAGCGACAGGCAGAGCCAACUGAUUCUAGUUCGGGCUCCAUUUGACCUGCUGAGUUCUGCAGGGUCAACACUCCCCCAUACUUCAUUUUGCGCUGCGUUUCUAGCCACAGGUCCAUGCUUUAAAGCUCUGUGUCCAAGUGUUGUUGUUGUUUUUGCCACAGAGCAAACAGCAAUCCGCAAGAAACUCAAAUUGCUGUUUGUUUUGAUUCAGUGUUAAAGGGUGGCAGAGCUUACCUAGGCUCCCUUGAGCCCUUGGCAAGGAGUUGCCUGACCAGAUUCCUCUGCCAAGGCUCCCAGAGGAGCCCAGCUGCCCAAAGUAGCGGAGGAGCAGCCCAGGGAGUGUGCAGAUAGGUAUGUGGGUUCCUGGCCACUCUGAACCAGAGCAGAGAUGCUCAAUUUUUGCAUCACCCUGAGCCUGGAUCCUUGGCGAGGGCCAACCUAACCAUCCCCUAGGUAUGCCCCUGAAGAGUGCGUUUUUCCUGGGUAAAGUGGCAGUGCAAAAAAAGAGAGAGAGAGAGAGUGCUCGGACAUGGAGCUUUAUAGUGUGGAUGUAUGCCUAGAAAGCGCAAGGCAAAAGGUAAGGCUGACAAAAAAUGUGCUGCCAUCCUCUCCAACUGUAAGUAAGAAGGCAGGUGUUAUGUACUGAAGUUCUCACUCUGGGCCAGCAGGGGGAUACUGUAGAUAGUUAUGCAAAUAAGGGAUCGAAAGUGACGUUCAGUGAUUGCGCUCAGCGAUUCAGCUCAGUGAUUCAGCUCAGCUCAGAGGGUGGCCGCAUCUGGCUGUGCUCUGAUGUCCAUCGAUCCCAUCCUUGUUGCCAGUGUUAAGUUGUGGGUGAACAUAUCACACGACACAGCGAUUCUUCAAACAGCUCUUGUUUAUUCAGAGGCCAGAACAGAACUGAACUGAAGGGUUCAGUCAGCCUGCUUAUAUAGAGCUCCAGUACAACGUAACUGUAACAAAUUUCUAAAACUAUCCAAUCACUGAACGUCACUUUCGAUCCCUUAUUUGCAUAACUAUCUACAGUAUCCCCUUGCUGGCCCAGAGUGAGAACUUCAGUACAUAACAGCAGGUAGAUGGGGUCUGGCUGAGGCUGGUGCAUCAUUUGCCCUAAUAACCAGCCUCUACUCCCUUCCUUCCCAACCUUGAAUAUAUCCAAGACCUAUGGAUCCUUCCCUUUCUGCCCUUGAAUUUUCAUUGCUCCCCUCAUUGUCUCUGAAAUGGUGCUCCUGUGAAGUCAUCCAUUCUAGAAAUAGGAUGAAUACAUUGCGUGUCCUUGUAGGACUUAUUUUCCAUGGACAAUUUUGCCUGUACCUUGGGCCACCCAGCUACCUUCAUCAGAGCAACCAAAAGACAUUUGCUUCCCAUCUCAGUGCGACAUUUGGGUGUGAUUAAUAUCUCUAGGUCUCAGAAGGGGUGGAAUUAAAUAUUUUCCCUCCCGGGAAUUUGCAUCUGCUGAGUCUUCUACGCAUCAUCAAAAUGAGACAGUUUCAUCACUGCUGAGCAAAGUCAAAGCUGAAAGAGUUAUCCAAGCAAUGGGGCAAAUCAUUUGUUUGGCAAACAAACAAACAAACAAAAACCAUUGAAAUUCAGCAAAUUAAAAUCAUGCCUUUUUACAUUUUGUUGUCAGCCUCAAAAUUUUCAAAAUUGCUGACUUUGGUUCCCCCUGCUAUGAAGGGACCUACUACAACAUUUGUUAAACGCUAUUUCACGUCAGUUGCUUACUGCCAAAUGCUGGCUGCCUUGGUAAAAUUAUUGGAUGCCAAAACGCAGACAAGAAACAUGGAACAUUUAUGGAAUAUUCAAACAUCCAGGGAAUAUUUGCUCUCUCAAAAUUAACAAAAGAUUAUGGCUUGGAUCCAACUAUUUUAUGAGCACAAUUCCUUUCACUUGGGAAGUAGAAUUUUAUCUCUGUCUGCAACACCCAAACCCUUGAGGGUGUAGGAGAUUGAAAUGGCUUGCCUACCACUGUGGCCACAAGGAAAGCCAACAGAUGGGGACAUGGGAUGCUAGAGGGUCCUUAUAAUCCAACUCCAUAUUUAUAUUUAUGGCCUGUAGACCAAAUAAACCAAUAUAGGCUGAGAAAGUAGAUUAUAAACUGAGAACAGAAUCCAUCUGAAAUGAUGCUCUUUUCAAGUUUUCUUGAUUUCAACAGGAGAAUUAGAAGUGUUUCAAAGCCCUCCAUUGAAAUCGAUGGUCUUAACAGUACAGUGGUACCUCAGGUUAAGUACUUAAUUCAUACCAGAGGUCUGUACUUAAUCUGAAACUGUUCUUAACCUGAAGCACCACUUUAGCUAAUGGGACCUCCUGCUGCUGCUGCGCCGCCGGAACAUGAUUUCUGUUCUCAUCCUGAAGCAAAGUUCUUAACCUGAAGCACUAUUUCUGGGUUAGCAGAGCCUGUAUGUAACCUGAAGUGUAUGUAACCUGAGGUACCACUGUACUUUACUUCGGUUGAAUCCCAAGUAAGUAAAAGAUUAUUAAUUGCAAUCAUUCACAAAAGUAUACAAGUGAGUUUAGAGAAAAAUGAAUACGAACCAUUCUGAUGGGUUUACAAUUACGGUAUGUGAUGCAGCCAGAGUUAAGUAUUUUUUUCAGGACCUAUUGCAUUAUAUUCAUACGUAACUCUCUCCCAUUGAUAUUUGGUGAAUCAUUCUUCUUGUUUUUAUGCAUGCAGUGAACAUGUUUGAGAAAUUAGCCUAGCAUCAUUAUGUGUGUAAAGAAUGUAUUAAAAUGUGACUGUGUGUGUUCUUGAUUUUUUUAAUGGCAUGAAUAAUUGUAUCUUUAUUAAAAUAUUACAGCUGUGUCUGGCAUUAAAUAAUCCUUUACACAUUCUCACCUUUUAGCCAUAAUUACAUUUGUGGAGCAUAUCACCGGACUGUGGGUUUGGCUGAAUGAUUCUUAUUUUCCCUUUGUUUUUGUUUUCAGACUGAGAGACGUGGUCGGGGUUUCACAAUGCCUUGAAUAUCAACACCAUAAAAUCCCUUUACCAAUCGUAAAUGCAUAAAUGCAAUCAUGCAUACCUUUCUGAGUUAUGAGGUGGUUGCACAGUUGGCAGGCUGGCUUGAUGCUUUUUUGACAGGUUAGGUUAAAGGAUUAAGUCUAGUCUGUCUUCACUUUGCCCUGGUUCUGACACACUCUAAAAAAAGUUACCGGCUGCCCGCGUGCUUCGCCUGACCUCUACAUCUCCCUGGAGUGACAACACUUUCCUUUUUGCUCUCCAAAGGUCAAGGCAGAUAACUUGUUGAGCCUCCCAGAUACUGCCUUAUCAGUGGCUUUUCCCUCCUGGCAUCACACUUUGAAAUAAAUGCACAAACUACUGGAAGGAAAGAAAGGGCGAGAUCCAGACAGAGUUAGGCACUUUUAAAUGCCGCUGGUUUCAGCGGUUGAGAACAGAGCAUGUGCUUAACGCUCUCCAUGAUGUGUUUAAACUGCUGACUCCAAGAUAAAUGGUCAGGGAAGUUCUCUGCCAAAGCCUCUGUUCCAGGUAUGUCCAAAGUCCAUUUUGGCCUAAUCUGGCCCGCUGGUCGGUUCAAUCCAGCCCUGUGGCAGUUUAUUUCCUGGGGUAAAAUCCUAAAAAACCCCUCAAUGUUAUGUACUGAGUUGAAUAGGAUCCAAAAAGCAGCAGUCUGAUUGGUCCUAGAACAAUAGGAUUCAGAAUGCAGCAGUCUGAUUGGUCCUAGAACAAUAGGGUCCAGAAUGCAGCAGUUUGAUUGGUCCUAGAACAAUGCAGCAGUAUGAUUGGCCCGCAGGAGCCACCCAAUCCAGCUCCAGGUGGAAGUGAAUCCACAACCUGAUUGGCCUACAGGAGAAUCCCAGAAUUAGCCAAUCAUGUGCGACCCAUUGUGUAAAUAAUGUAUAUAAAGCAGAUAUUUGGG